AGCUCGUAAAAAUAAAUGCUCACGAACUAUAUGUUCGCUCCGCUUUAUUUUUACGUCGCAACAUUUAAAUCCAUCUCAAAAAUCCUGCGCCAUCUUGAGUUCAAAUUUGAAUCUAAUGUCUUAGUCUAAAUUCUAUAAAUUUCAAAUUUCUUAGAAUUUUAAAAUUUAGCAACAAAAGCAAAAAGACAAGCUGCAAGAAAAGUAUAAAUCAUUAAGUGCAAGUGGUAGGAGAGCGUUCCAAUCAGCGUCGAAGCCGUACCGGUAAGGAGCGGUGGAGCGGUUGGAAGUGAGCAUGCAGGCAUGAGUAGCGAUAAAAUACGUGAGAAUCGUAUUCGCCGUAAACCCAAGGUUUCCUACGCGAUGCUCGUCAUCGUAGGGUUAGUCGGGUCCUAAGCAAAGUCCGAAAGGGGUAUGCGAUGGAAAAUCGGUUAAUAUUCCGAUACCGAUAUCAGUGUGCGACGGAAGGACGCUUAAAGUUAGUGGAGCUAGCGGAUGGAAGUGCUAGUCUAAGGAAGUAGGUUGAGUUAUAGGCAAAUCCGUAACUCUUUAUCCGAGAUCUGAAAGGCUUCUGACGCUCUUCGGAGUAGAUGAAGAAUCCAUGAUACUAUCGAGCCGAGAAAAGUUUCUAAGUUUAGCUGAUAUCGCCCGUACCGUAAACCGACACAGGUGGGUGGGAUGAGUAUUCUAAGGCGCGUGGAAGAACUCUCUUUAAGGAACUCUGCAAAAUAGCACCGUAUCUUCGGUAUAAGGUGUGCCUAGCUUCGUUAAGAAUUUACUUCGUAAGCGAAGAAGGUUACAACAAAGAGUCCCUCCCGACUGUUUACCAUAAACACAGCACUCUGCUAACUCGUAAGAGGAUGUAUAGGGUGUGACGCCUGCCCGGUGCUCGAAGGUUAAUUGAUGAUGUUAGCUUACGCAAAGCAUCUGAUCGAAGCCCGAGUAAACGGCGGCCGUAACUAUAACGGUCCUAAGGUAGCGAAAUUCCUUGUCGGUUAAAUACCGACCUGCAUGAAUGGCGUAACGAGAUGGGAGCUGUCUCAAAGAGGGAUCCAGUGAAAUUGUAGUGGAGGUGAAAAUUCCUCCUACCCGCGGCAAGACGGAAAGACCCCGUGGACCUUUACUAUAGCUUGACACUGCUACUUGGAUAAAGAUGCGCAGGAUAGGUGGGAGGCUUCGAUUCGUAGAUCUCGGUUUACGAUGAGCCAUUGUUGAGAUACCACUCUUCUUUAUUCGGGUAGCUAACUAGCCUAAGUUAUCCUUAGGUAGGACAAUGUCUGGUGGGUAGUUUGACUGGGGCGGUCGCCUCCCAAAAUGUAACGGAGGCUUACAAAGGUUGGCUCAAAGCGGUUGGAAAUCGCUUGCAGAGUAUAAAGGCAAAAGCCAGCUUAACUGCGAGACAUACACGUCGAGCAGAGACGAAAGUCGGUCUUAGUGAUCCGGUGGUUCUGUGUGGAAGGGCCAUCGCUCAAAGGAUAAAAGGUACCCCGGGGAUAACAGGCUGAUCUCCCCCAAGAGCUCACAUCGACGGGGAGGUUUGGCACCUCGAUGUCGGCUCAUCGCAUCCUGGGGC
rnacentral:rRNA from 1 species